rnacentral:lncRNA from 1 species
UCUCCUCCCGAAAUCCCGGUUCCUCCCGCCCGCACCGGGGCUGGAUCCGGCUCCGGAUGGGGGGGUACAAUAGCCGGAUGCGGGGGCCGGGAAAUGCCGGGGGGGGAAGGUGGCGGUGAACACAAACAUCUCAGCCAUCCUGGGGCAGGCGGAGUGCCCGGCCACCGGCAGCACCCGGAGACAGCAGAGUGGGGACACCAGCGGUUAACGAAUUUAAUUAGUCAGAAUAAAUUCCCCUUUUCCUUCACCAUGUUCAGAGGAAGACAAAUUAAGAAGAAACGGGCUCUCAGCUGAGGAUGCCAUCAGUAGGUACCAGGGGGAACAGCCCAAGGUCUCCCAUGCAUUAAAGUGCCAGUUUCAGCGCCAGCCAGGUGCAUCGGGUCUGUGUGCUCUUACCUGUCAGCCACUUCUCAUGUGUCCCCCCAACCCUGGGGGACCCCUGUCCCACAAAGACACCCAGGGGUGCCACCACCAUUCGGGUAGUACGUUUAGUUUAUUGGUUAGUAGUGCACCCCGAGCACUCCGGGGUGCCCCGGCACCCACCCCGGGUGCCCCAGGGCCCGGCUCGCUUGGCCGGCCGCUCUCUGCUUUUCAUCCUAAACCUAUUUCCCAUGAAGGCUUGGGGAGAGACAGCGCCGUGUGCCCCAAAACCGGGGGAUUUUCACAGAAAAUCCUACCAUGGCAAAGGGGCAAUGCUUGGACCAGGGCUUCCAGCCCACGUUUAGGGGACAUUGCAGCUGGGGAGCUGGGGAGCAGGAGGGAGCCCCCUGUUUAGGCUGCCUGGUGCGUGUUGUGGCUUGUGUGCCAGUGCAUGUCCUGCUCCAUGCAUGGGGGCUGUGCCAUGGCGGGCACCGUGCUCUUGCACACACGCGUGCAUGCAGGGUCGCUGGGUGUGCAGUGUGUGUGCUCCCCGUGUGCGUGUGCACGCUCCAAGCAUGCUCAGCUGCUGUGUGCUCACUCUCUUCACACACCCCACACACACCCUGUGCAAGCACAGCACACACUCUUUGCACACUCACUGCAGGCUCACUCUUGUGCAUGCUCUGAGCACAUUCAGCUGCUCACUUUGUGCACGCUCUUUCCACCACACCAUUCAUGCUCUGUGUGUGCUUUGUGCAAGCACUGCACACACCCUCUGUGCUCACCCUCUGCACACUCACCAUGUGCUGUGUGCAUGUCCCGUGCAAAUGCUGUGUGCAUGUUCCCUCCCCAAGCUCCCUGCACACUCUGCACAGGUGCUCUCUGCAUGGACUCCGUGCAUGCUUGGAACACACACGCAGGGCUGGCACGCUCACAAAGGCCAUGCAGGCUCAGUGGACACUGCACACUCCAUAAACCCUCUGUGCACACUCUGCAGCCUUAGCUGCACGCUCCGUGUGUGUGCUCUCCACGUGUUCUCUUCCACACUGUGCAUCCUCUUCGCACCCUGUGUGCGCACUUGCUGCACGUCCUGGUGCCUGCCCCCGUGUGCACAGUCCAUGUGCCCUCCUGCACGCCCCAUCCACGUGUGCAGCGCUCCAUCGCUCCCUCUGCACGCUCCAUGCUCCCCUGGCACACUCUCCGUGCGCUGAUUGCAUGUUGUCUCUGCACACGCGUGUGCACACUCGUCCCGGCGAGAAAGCCAUUAAAGCGAUGCCCCAGGAAGACGGGGGACGGAAGAGGGGAGCUCUGGGUGGGAUCAAUAGGAAAUUAGUGACUUUACGCCGAGCAGAAUGACGCCCAGUGGCGGAGCAGGGCCGUGCCGGUGUCCCCG